GACGAACGCUGGCGGCGUGCCUAAUACAUGCAAGUUGAGCGAUGAAGAUUUGUGCUUGCACCAAUUUGAAGAGCAGCGAACGGGUGAGUAACGCGUGGGGAAUCUUCCUUUUAGCGGGGGACAACAUUUGGAAACGAAUGCUAAUACCGCAUAACAACUUUAAACAUAAGAUUUAAGUUUUAAAGAUACAUUUGCAUCACUCAAAGAUGAUCCCGCGUUGUAUUAGCUAGUUGGUGAGGUAAAGGCUCACCAAGGCGAUGAUACAUAGCCGACCUGAGAGGGUGAUCGGCCACAUUGGGACUGAGACACGGCCCAAAAUCCUACGGGAGGCAGCAGUAGGGAAUCUUUGGCAAUGGACGAAAGUCUGACCGAGCAACGACGCGUGAGUGAAGAAGGUUUUCGGAUCGUAAAACUCUGUUGGUAGAGAAGAACGUUGGUGAGAGUGGAAAGCUCAUCAAGUGACGGUAACUAACCAGAAAGGGACGGCUAACUACGUG
rnacentral:rRNA from 1 species